GAAAUGCGAUAAGUAAUGUGAAUUGCAGAAUUCAGUGAAUCAUCGAAUCUUUGAACGCACAUUGCGCCCGUUGGUAUUCCGAUGGGCAUGCCUGUUCGAGCGUCAUUUCACCUCCUCAAGUAUCUUGAUGUUGGGGUCUCGUCUUUCACAGACGGCCCUUGAAAUCAGCGGCGGCGUUUGCCUUUCUCCCGGCGUUGCAGAAAUACCACGCUAUGGAUUGACUGGUUGCGUUUGCCUAUGUUGUUAUUCGCGUCUUGACGCGUUAGUUUGACCUCGGAUCAGGUAGGGAUACCCGCUGAACUUAA
rnacentral:misc_RNA from 1 species